AUGGCGGACGACCACGAGGAGAGGACAGUGUUCAAACAGAUAACGCGACAGACCACCGACAGCAUCUCGAGGCCAUUUAGCUGCACCACUUGUUAG